rnacentral:misc_RNA from 1 species
UAAUAAGUGUUUUAUGGCACUUUUUAAAUCCAUAUCCACCUUGUGUGCAAUGUCGGUCGAUCUUCUUCAUGGAGAUCGACCAAACAUCAACCUUUAUCUUUUAACUCUUUGUCUGAAAAAUAUUAUGAAUAAACAAUUCAAAAUACAACUUUCAACAACGGAUCUCUUGGCUCUCGCAUCGAUGAAGAACGCAGCGAAAUGCGAUACGUAAUGUGAAUUGCAGGAUUCAGUGAAUCAUCGAAUCUUUGAACGCAUAUUGCGCUCUUUGGUAUUCCGAAGAGCAUGCUUGUUUGAGUAUCAGUAAACACCUCAAAGCUUUUGGAUUUUUUAAUCGAAAAGCUUUGGACUUGAGCAAUCCCAACACCAAUCUUUUUGAGAUCGGUGGCGGGUUGCUUGAAAUGCAGGUGCAGCUGGACAUUCUCCUGAGCUAAAAGCAUAUUCAUUUAGUCCCGUCAAACGGAUUAUUACUUUUGCUGCAGCUAACAUAAAGGGAGUUUGACCGUAUUGGCUGACUGAUGCAGGAUUUCACAAGGGUCGGCAACGAUUCUUGUUAAACUCGAUCUCAAAUCAAGUAAGACUACCCGCUGAACUUAAGCAUAUCAAUAAGCGGAGGAAUCGGCAUCUUGGUCAUUUAGAGGAAGUAAAAGUCGUAACAAGGUCUCCGUUGGUGAACCAGCGGAGGGAUCAUUACUGGGUGGCUUCGGCCUAAACCCCCAACCAUUGUGAACGAUACCAGUUGCUUAGCUGGUGGCGGCGGACAGCUGCCCUGGCGGCAACGAGACUCUUCUAAUGUCAUCUCUGAGUUACUUUUAAAUAAGUCA